rnacentral:rRNA from 1 species
GUGCAGCAGCCGCGGUAAUUCCAGCUCCAAUAGCGUAUACUAAAGUUGUUGCAGUUAAAAAGCUCGUAGUUGAAUUUCUGGUCUUGGAUUUCGGUCUGCCUCAAACGAGGUAUGUACCAGGGAUCUGAGACCAUCCUCGAGGAAAACAUAUCUGUCAUUAAGUUAAUGGGUAUGGGAUCCUCGUCAUUUACUGUGAGCAAAAUAGGGUGUUCAAAGCAGGCUUAUGCCGUUGAAUACAUUAGCAUGGAAUAAUAAGAUAAGACCUUGGUCUAUUUUGUUGGUUUGUACUCCAAGGUAAUGAUUAAUAGGGAUAGUUGGGGGUAUUCGUAUUCAAUUGUCAGAGGUGAAAUUCUUGGAUUUAUGGAAGACGAACUACUGCGAAAGCAUUUACCAAGGAUGUUUUCAUCAAUCAAGAACGAAAGUUAGGGGAUCGAAGAUGAUUAGAUACCAUCGUAGUCUUAACCAUAAACUAUGCCGACUAGGGAUUGGUGGACGUUUGUAACGACUCCAUCAGCACCUUAUGAGAAAUCAAAGUCUUUGGGUUCC